UCUGAUUAGGAGGGAGCAUGUGCUUGAGAAACUGAAAACAAGGCCCCCACAGCUGGAGUGGAGAGGACAAGACGAUGUUCGGUGUGAGCUAAGACCACAGCGAUGAGGAGAGCCAAAAUCACACGGGGCCACCGGGCCACACGGAGAACGAUGCCCUCUCCUCCAUUGCACGCAACUGAACCAACAUGGCUGGCAUUCCAGCCUCCCUGCCUGGUACACACCUGCCAUUGUGUGAGAACCAGCUCAUCAUCCCCUCGGUGAAGCCAGCUCUACCCUCUCCCCCCAUCUCCAGUGCUACUCAAAGGCCCGAGUCCCAUUAACUUCUGUAUGCACAGCCCAGCAGAGUCUCUGGUGGAAAUGAAAAAGAGAGUCAAGAAGUCCUGUGCUAGGUACAUCCUCUGCAGGAUAGAGCCUCCAGCUUGCCUUUAACUGGGAAGAACAGCAUCUGGAAGCAGUCCACUGCCGCGUUUUAUUGGAACAUUCAGAUCACCUCAUGAAAGACCCUGGAGACACAGAGAGCAGAUGAAGGUUAUCAGCCCCGUUGACAUUGAUCCUGGACCAUCUGUAUCCGUCUUAAUUUGUCAUCCUGGCCAUUCAAGAGCUGACGACUAGACAGACUUCAAAUGACUUUUAACUUUGUUUUCUAGCACUUAUGGAGGAUACAAAUCUUAAUCGAGUGGUCUGUUGUUAUCUCCGAGCCCCCAGACCGGCUUCCAGACAAGGAUAUAACAAAGAGUUCGUGGUUUCUAGAAGGUUCUCAGAGUGGCAAGGUCUACCUUAGAAUAUGCCGACACCAUUAAGAUCCUUUUUUGGUGAAACGUUUCCAGUGAUACUCAGAUGCCGCUGUUCAGAAAGAGCCCGGCAGGAGCGAACGAAAGCAGAUUCCUCCUCCGAAGAGAGCCCAGGCAACAAAGGGAGGCUGGUCACCGAGUGGGCGCCCCUUUGAAGUGAGGGACUUUCUUGUUGUUCCUGCGGCGGAUACAAUUUGGCUGAGAUAUCAAAUGCAGAUAGUAAAAAUUUAAUUAACAAAUCAAAGCCUUUAUCUGGAGUUUUUAGAACUGUGGCCAACAGUUUUCUUCAGUCUCAAGAGCUCCAGUCAGAGCCGAAGAGAAGAAAGCAGCGCCUUUGUAGUGCAGAAAACGUACAACUUUUCCUGAUGAUCGCUCUCACAGAUAAGGCUCCUCUUAACUGCCCGCUCCUUCCCUCCUUGGGGAAGAGGCUUUGAGGCCCCUCUGCAAAGGGGCUGCAUUUUUGAGAGCCCUUUGACACUCUGCUCUGGUUAACCCUUUAUCUGGUUAACAGGAUGGUUCUCCCAGCAAGCCAGGCUGUAGGAGAUGAUUAGUCUCCCUUGCGUGGUUGUGUGGACCGACAACACGCCCUGGACCUGGGAGAAACUGAGACUCCAAAAAGCGAAGAAUGUGUUCUGCCUCCUUGUCCCGACAGAACUCUUACGAAUAAAGCAAGAGGAAAUGAUGCGAGGCCGUGUGUAAUGAACGUGUAAUUAGAACAUCAGAAUCCAAAUUUGCGUGUAUGUACUAUAUACAUGCCCAUCUGUAUAAAGUAAAAUUAGCAUGGUGUCAUCUCUGAAUGUGAUUAAAAGUGAUUUUUAUUUCCA